rnacentral:rRNA from 1 species
CCCUUAGAUGUUCUGGGCCGCACGCGCGCUACACUGAUGCAUUCAACGAGCCUAUCCUUGACCGACAGGUCCGGGUAAUCUUUGAAUCUGCAUCGUGACGGGGAUAGAUUAUUGCAAUUAUUAAUCUUCAACGAGGAAUGCCUGGUAGGCGCAAGUCAUCAGCUUGCGUCGAUUACGUCCCUGCCCUUUGUACACACCGCCCGUCGCUCCUACCGAUUGGGUGUGCUGGUGAAAUGUUCGGAUCGGCCGUUUGUCGCGGUUUCCGCGGCUCGUGGCUGAGAAGUUCAUUAAACCCUCCCACCUAGAGGAAGGAGGAGUCGUAACA